CCUACGGGAGGCAGCAGUGAUGAAUAUUGGUCAAUGGGCGCUAGCCUGAACCAGCCAAGUAGCGUGAAGGAUGACUGCCCUAUGGGUUGUAAACUUCUUUUAUAUGGGAAUAAAGUGCAGUAUGUAUACUGCUUUGCAUGUACCUUAUGAAUAAGGAUCGGCUAACUCCGUGCCAGCAGCCGCGGUAAUACGGAGGAUCCGAGCGUUAUCCGGAUUUAUUGGGUUUAAAGGGAGCGUAGGCGGGUUGUUAAUUCAGUUGUGAAAGUUUGCGGCUCAACCGUAAAAUUGCAGUUGAUACUGGCAGCCUUGAGUACAGUAGAGGUAGGCGGAAUGCGUGGUGUAGCGGUGAAAUGCUUAGAUAUCACGAAGAACUCCGAUUGCGAAGGCAGCCUGCUGGACUGUAACUGACGCUGAUGCUCGAAAGUGUGGGUAUCAAACAGGAUUAGAUACCCGGGUAGUC
rnacentral:rRNA from 1 species